GACGAGGAGCUUGCUCCUCUGACGUUAGCGGCGGACGGGUGAGUAACACGUGGAUAACCUACCUAUAAGACUGGGAUAACUUCGGGAAACCGGAGCUAAUACCGGAUAAUAUAUUGAACCGCAUGGUUCAAUAGUGAAAGACGGUUUUGCUGUCACUUAUAGAUGGAUCCGCGCCGCAUUAGCUAGUUGGUAAGGUAACGGCUUACCAAGGCAACGAUGCGUAGCCGACCUGAGAGGGUGAUCGGCCACACUGGAACUGAGACACGGUCCAGACUCCUACGGGAGGCAGCAGUAGGGAAUCUUCCGCAAUGGGCGAAAGCCUGACGGAGCAACGCCGCGUGAGUGAUGAAGGUCUUCGGAUCGUAAAACUCUGUUAUUAGGGAAGAACAAAUGUGUAAGUAACUAUGCACGUCUUGACGGUACCUAAUCAGAAAGCCACGGCUAACUACGUGCCAGCAGCCGCGGUAAUACGUAGGUGGCAAGCGUUAUCCGGAAUUAUUGGGCGUAAAGCGCGCGUAGGCGGUUUUUUAAGUCUGAUGUGAAAGCCCACGGCUCAACCGUGGAGGGUCAUUGGAAACUGGAAAACUUGAGUGCAGAAGAGGAAAGUGGAAUUCCAUGUGUAGCGGUGAAAUGCGCAGAGAUAUGGAGGAACACCAGUGGCGAAGGCGACUUUCUGGUCUGUAACUGACGCUGAUGUGCGAAAGCGUGGGGAUCAAACAGGAUUAGAUACCCUGGUAGUCCACGCCGUAAACGAUGAGUGCUAAGUGUUUAGGGGGUUUCCGCCCCUUAGUGCUGCAGCUAACGCAUUAAGCACUCCGCCUGGGGAGUACGACCGCAAGGUUGAAACUCAAAGGAAUUGACGGGGACCCGCACAAGCGGUGGAGCAUGUGGUUUAAUUCGAAGCAACGCGAAGAACCUUACCAAAUCUUGACAUCCUCUGAUCCCUCUAGAGAUAGAGUUUUCCCCUUCGGGGGACAGAGUGACAGGUGGUGCAUGGUUGUCGUCAGCUCGUGUCGUGAGAUGUUUGGGUUAAGUCCCGCAACGAGCGCAACCCUUAAGCUUAGUUGCCAUCAUUAAGUUGGGCACUCUAAGUUGACUGCCGGUGACAAACCGGAGGAAAGGGGGGGGAUGACGUCAAAUCAUCAUGCCCCUUAUGAUUUGGGCUACACACGUGCUACAAUGG
rnacentral:rRNA from 1 species